ensembl:lncRNA
GACGUAAUGUAGAAACAGCCUGGACCUGAGUUCCCGCUGCAUGUUUCCUCCCAGGCGGUGUCUGUUCUCCAUGGACAGAUCCCUCAUUUGCUCUCCAGCUCCCUGAGCUCCUCAGAAACUCUGACCCACGGACCUCUUUGUGGUCUCUGCCUUUUCCUGGGAUAGUAGCCACUUCAUCUUGGAACCCAAAGGAUUUUAAACUCUCCUAGGCCCUUCUUACCAGGUCCCAUGGCCUUAACAACCAGCCAAAUGCAGAGGAAAAGAUGAAGGUGUAUGUUAAAAACCAAUUAUCAGAGGCCAGCCUGGUGGCACAGUGGUUAAGUUUGCACAUUUCACUUAGGCAGGCCAGGGUCUCAGGUUCGCAUCCCAGAUGUGGAUGUUCACGCCACUCAUCAAGCCAUGCUGUGGUAGGCAUCCCGCAUAUAAAGUAGAGGAAGAUGGGCAUGGAUGUUAGCUCAGGGCCAGUCUUCCUCAGCAAAAAGAAGAGGAUUGGCAGUGGAUGUUAGCUCAGGGCUAACCUUCUUAAAUAAAGAAGAACCAAUUAUCUCAGAGAUAAGGGCAGUCUGAAGGGAAAAGUAACCCAGAAGUCAAAGGAAGAAAGAAUUUCAACGUGAGAGGACUCAAGCAGGAAUUCCACUUCUCAGAAUCUUCCUUAAAGAAACAGCAAAAAAUGUGGACAAAGUUUGAUGUGUGAGAAUCUUAAGAGCAUUACUUACCAAAGUCAAAAUUUGAAAGCAACCUAAAUGAAUUACAAUUAGGAAACUGUUAAUAAGUUAUGGACUCCACAUAAUGGGAUAGUAUGUCAGCAUUAAAAAAUAAUGCAAGGAGUAUUUGCUCACUUAGGAAAACAGUCAUGAAUUAUCUAAAAAGCAAGAUAUGAACUAGAUGUACUGUGAUCCCCAAAAUGUAAACUACAGAUAUAUAUCUGUGUAUGCACAGAAGAAGGAAUGGAAAGAAACCUUACCUGUGGUUGCCACCAGAUUGUAGCAUUAUGCUAUAUUUUCUACAAUCAGCAUGUGUUACUUUGUGAUUAAAAAGAAUGCUGCUAUGGACUGAAUGUUUCUGUCCCCCUCAACUUCAUUUGUUGACGCCUAACCCCAAACGCGAUGGUAUUUGGAGAUGAAGCCUUUGGCAGUUUGUUAGGUCAUGAGGGUGGAGCCCGCAAUAAUAGGAUGAAUGUCCUUAUAAGAAAAGACACAGGAGAGAUGAUGUCUUUCUCUUGGCCAUGUAUCUACAGCAGGAAGGCAGCCAUCCACCAGCCACGAAGCAGACCCUCACUAGGCACCGGAUCUGCCAGUGCCUUGAUCUUGGACUUCCAGCCUCCAGAACAGUGAGAAAUAAGUGUUGUUUAAGCCCCCCAGUUUAUGAUAUAUUUGUUAUAGCAGCCUGAAUGGAGUAAGACAAACACCAAGUUAUUUAUUAUUAAUACACAAAGUAGAAGAAGAAUGAGGAGAAGGAGGAAGAGAUUGAGUUAAGCAGCAAAUAGAAAAUAGACCACAAGAUUUGGCCAUUAGAGUUAAGUCACCAGACUUUGGGCUAAGUGUUAUGGGUAUGGAGAUGAAAGCCCUGUGUCUGUGGUUGAACAUCUGAAUUCUGAGGCAGUGAAUCCUACGGGGCAACUGAAAACCCACUGGACUCGCUAUAGGUAGUUUUCUUUUUAGAAGUGGGGUGUAUGUGGUAGAUAAAAGAUGGCUGCAAAGUUUUUGCUCCUCCUCCUACUGAGAGGUGGAAUUUAAUUCAUCCCCCCUUAAAUGUGGUUUGGCCUUAGUGACUUCCUUCACCAAGAGAAGGCAAUGGAAGUGAUGUUCUGGAACUUCCAAGGUUAGAUCAUAAGAAACCUGACUUUCUACCUGGCCUCUUAGAAUAUUCUCUGAAGGAGCCCUGAGCAGCUGAGUAAGAAGUUCAACUAUCCUGAGACCCUAUGCCAGAGGGGUCUCACGUAGGUGCUCCAGUCAACAGUCCCGGCUGAGCCUAGCCUUCCAGCCAUUCACGCCACAGCAACAGACAUGCAAGAGAAGCCAUCUUGGAUCCCCUAGCCCAGCCCAUCCGGUAAUUACUAAAUGACCUGUACGGACAACACGAGGAAUGGAAGAAUCACCAGCCACAGCCUUUGUGAAUUCCUGACCCACAUAAUUGGGAAAUAUAACAAAAUGUUUGCUGUUUUAAGCCAUUGCGUUUUCGGUUAGCUUUUUGUGCAGCAAUAGACAACUGGAACAGUGGCGUGUGUCUGUUUUUCCAUGAGCUGUUCUGUAUUUGGGUACAAAAGUAUCUGGACUUUCUUUCUUCGUGAGUUUCCUUUUGGGAUCUAUAGGAAUCACGGAAGGCCUCUGGGAGGUACGUGGGCUCCUUGACUGGGGAAUUCCAGUAAGAGUACUUCUAAUUUUCAUGGCCCUUAGCCUCUUAAAUCACCCCUUAAAAAAUUCUCCCGGAACAACUUCCAUGCCUUUCUUCUGCGGUGACUAUCUGCUAACUACUUUCACUACUUUAAUUGAACUUAGAUGCAUUUGAACCAUAGCAGGAAGGUGCUCUGAAGAGGAAGGAGCCAUAGGAAAAUGCAAGCAAGAAUUCCCAGCGCUAAUGGUUGGCUCCUGCCAGAAGGGUGACCAUUCAUCAAUCAAUGGGAUGGGUGGUGUUCCAGAACAAGCGCUUCCAUUGUUCCCACUGUAGAGACCCUCUGUAUGUUUGGGCUGUUCUUAAUCCCCCCUAAAGGAAUUCUCCUCUAAAAGUUGUGAGGUGCGGUCCUGGACACUGAGUUGUUAGAGAUGGUCGGGUCUCCAGUGAUCCUCUAAUUCCACCCCUUCAUUUUACAAAAGAAGAAACUGAGGUCUCAAACAUAUGAGGUGUUCAAAAUCAUACAGAUUGUAACUGGCAGAGAAGUGGCAAAAAGCCCAGUCUGCUGACUGAUUCCAGGCCUACCUUGGUGUGUGUGUGUAUGUGUGUGCACACCCUUGUGUAUCCUUGCAUAGUGUCAGUAGAUGAGAAAUGGGAGACGAGAAAGAGAAAAAUCUUGAUUUUUAGCAUAUAGUCGGCGGGGGUUUAUUAACUUCCCCCACCAACAACUAAAUGCUGGAAGUUUCUACCUGAUGAGAGCUAAUCAAUAGGCAGUGAGCUAUUUGAUGUGUCAGUUGGACCUAAGGUUAACCCCAUCUCCCCAUCUCCCGUGAGUGGAACUGAGCCCGAGGGGAAGGGGGAGACUUCAGAGCAAGUGAGAAAG